UGGGGUGUAGCCAAGUGGUAAGGCUUCGGAUUCUGAUUCCGACAUGCGGGAGUUCAAAUCUCUCCACCCCAACCA
rnacentral:tRNA from 1 species